GCUAAACGCGAAGAACCUUACCCACCUUUGACAUGUACGGAAUCCUGCAGAGACGCAGGAGUGCUCGAAAGAGAGCCGUAACACAGGUGCUGCAUGGCUGUCGUCAGCUCGUGUCGUGAGAUGUUGGGUUAAGUCCCGCAACGAGCGCAACCCUUGCCAUUAGUUGCUACGAAAGGGCACUCUAAUGGGACUGCCGGUGACAAACCGGAGGAAGGUGGGGAUGACGUCAAGUCCUCAUGGCCCUUAUAGGUGGGGCUACACACGUCAUACAAUGGCUGGUACAAAGGGUUGCCAACCCGCGAGGGGGAGCCAAUCCCAUAAAGCCAGUCGUAGUCCGGAUCGCAGUCUGCAACUCGACUGCGUGAAGUCGGAAUCGCUAGUAAUCGUGGAUCAGAAUGUCGCGGUGAAUACGUUCCCGGGUCUUGUACACACCG
rnacentral:rRNA from 1 species